rnacentral:rRNA from 1 species
AGUGAACGCUGGCGGUAGGCCUAACACAUGCAAGUCGAACGGCAGCACAGUAGGAGCUUGCUCUUACGGGUGGCGAGUGGCGGACGGGUGAGGAAUACAUCGGAAUCUACUUUUUCGUGGGGGAUAACGUAGGGAAACUUACGCUAAUACCGCAUACGACCUACGGGUGAAAGCAGGGGAUCUUCGGACCUUGCGCGAUUGAAUGAGCCGAUGUCGGAUUAGCUAGUUGGCGGGGUAAAGGCCCACCAAGGCGACGAUCCGUAGCUGGUCUGAGAGGAUGAUCAGCCACACUGGAACUGAGACACGGUCCAGACUCCUACGGGAGGCAGCAGUGGGGAAUAUUGGACAAUGGGCGCAAGCCUGAUCCAGCCAUACCGCGUGGGUGAAGAAGGCCUUCGGGUUGUAAAGCCCUUUUGUUGGGAAAGAAAAGCAGCAGGUUAAUACCCCGCUGUUCUGACGGUACCCAAAGAAUAAGCACCGGCUAACUUCAUG